rnacentral:tRNA from 1 species
GGCCCCGUUGGUCAAGCGGUUAAGACACCGCCCUUUCACGGCGGUAACACGGGUUCGAAUCCCGUACGGGUCA